CUGGGCAACUAAUCGUAAUAAUCAUGUGACUAUUUAACUGGAUACCGGUCUUGCGCGAGAAGGGUGUUUCGUCAAUAAAUUACCAGAAACCAGUCGAAUUUUCAUCCGGGCUAUGUGCAAGCCAAGAUAUAAACGUGAAAACAGAAAAAAAUGUCUCACAAUUGGCGUUCUUACACAAACAAAAUAAAACAUUCGGAAUUGGAAGAUACUGAACGCAUCGAGGCAUUUUUUAAGAAAGAAUCAUCGAAAACCGUUAUAACCCAUCAGGAUUCUGAGGUGAUUAUCAUCAUCCAUUGAACAGGGCUGGGAAAACUGAUUGCAUUGAUAAUAUUGACCAGUGAAAAGGAUGGUAGUGAGAUAUGGCAGCACUGACCUGUGCUCACAUGGUGUGGCCAGGCUUAUCAGCAAGCCUCUUAUUUAGAAAACCUGGCAACACAUGGGGCAGAGGUUUCAGGUAAGAAAAGUAGUUCCAGUCUACUGGAAAUAUUCUAGACACAACUUAACUUCAAAGGAGCCUAAUAACAAUGGAAUGCCCAAUGUUCCGCUGAUAGGUCUGUUCUAGACUUCUAGGCUUUGUGUAUUGAAAUGGUUAGUAAAGUGUGACCAAUCACCAUCUAAUCAAGUCUCAAAGAAAGGCACUUUUUGAGCUUUUGAGAUUUUAGGUCCAGUCUGAUGCACAUUUUACUGCAGACAUCUGUGGAAAAGAUAUUACCGACUCAUUGCAAAACUAUGAUAACUGAAAUGUGCAAGGUAUAAAGAGAUAGCCCAAAUGUGCACUGAUCUCACACAUUAUGCAGGAUGGGAAUGUUGCUGUGGUUCAAAUGGGAAAAUGAUUGGCCACAAUGCAGAUCGGUAUCAAAAAGUGAUAAAUCAUGGCAGUAAUUGUGUUUGUUUAGCUAAACCUCUUAAUGAAUGUGCAGACCUGGCAGACAUGAAAACAAGGAGUUGGCCCCUGGACAGCUGGAUCUGAUAGGGGUCCACUGACCCUACAAGUGACCCUUUGCAAUGACAGCAGCAUUUGGUUCCACAUUUCUGUCUAGGGGUCAAUGGUGUGGCCAUUGUUUGGCAACAAUAGGGGAAAUGUCCAGUUAUGCGAUGUUAACAACAAUUUCUUGCAGUAACAAAAGAAUGACAUGAUAUUUUUGAGCAUAUGAUCUACUGGCAUUGUUUUCUAAAAUGGAAACUGAUGAUAGCUUUAUUACUUUUUGCAAUUGAUAUGACCUAAUUAUCAGCAUUGAUUAAGUUCCAGGCGUGUGAUUCACUUGCAAAUUAAUCCGUGCUUGGGUAAUGUCUAUGUUACUUUUUUCCCACAAAACAUUCCGCAUUUUGUGCUGUGAGAGAGAUAAGGCUGAAAAUCAUUUUUCUACUUCCUACUGGUAUCACCCACUCUAGAAACAAUGCCCUGGCAUUUCCAUUAUAUCGCAUUUUAAGAAUGAUUGAACUGCACACGGUGCCAAGACUUCGCUAUGAUACCAAUAGCCGUUAUCUUUGAAUUCCAAAAUUGUUGGCUUAUGUCUGAUCUUCUGGACCUUUUAUCAGUUAAGAGUUAGCCAAAUAUUCAAACACGGAAUAAUUCACUCUUUAAAUACCAUUGUCAAGACUUACUGAUGCCACGUCUCCCUUUCGCAGACCUGCAGCAAUAAAUGUUCGAUGUCAUGACGCAUUGAUGCAACGUUUCUUCAUAUUCUUUUAAAUACAUAAACAUACAGGUAUUCUUUUGGUCAGUGUCACCAAUAAAUUAAUUAUUUUAGAACGGUCUGUAGAGCCAUUUUUAUUCCAGUGGUUUAAGUCAUGUCAGACUUCAAUUGCAGAAUAUUUAAAUUCAUUAACUGCGCUUUUUUAAGUGUACCAUCACCAAAAUACUGUCACUGUUGUAGAUUGAAAAUGAUGCAAAAUAAUAUCAACUAAUAUGGAUCAAUUGAAGUUAUUUAAUUAUCUAUUUCAAUUAUGUUAUUGAUUUAGUACUAGAAUUUUAAGAAAUACGAUACCAGUACAUGUCAUUUUAGUCGUAACGAAAAUGCUGACCGUAUCUUGAAAAUUCCAUGAUUGCAUGAACCAAUUUUUGUCAAAAUGGCAUUAUUUUCACAAGCACUGUCUGUCAAGGGUUGAUGAUACUCCAAAAUGACCUCAAUUGUCAUCUCCCAACAAGCCUGGUGAUACAAGAUUAGCUUAUUUAUGUUUGACAUUUUCUGUCACAUACAUUAACCAUAUUGACCUUCCAUUGAAUGUGAAUGCCUAAUUUAGCAUUGUUACUCUCUCAGCAGCCGUUUUGUUCGUUCAUCAUAUAAUGUAACACAUACAUCUAACAUCAAACCAAACAUGAUAUCGCCGCGUGAACAAAUUAAAUUAAGUUUGGACAUUUGAAUGUGUUCGUUAUAAAAUUAUGUCACAUUUUAAUAUCAAUUUAUUUAAUUAUAUUUUACUAGUAUUUACAUUUCUCGAUUAGGCAUAUGAGUGACCAUUUGGCACGUCGAAUUAUUUCUUAUCCCACAUACACAUGUAUAAAUACUUAUAUAGGUUUUAACAAUAAAUAAUAAUUAUGAUUAAUUUUACGAUCAGUGAGCAAGUAAAGCAUGUUUUAUUUGAUGAUGCAAAAUAGAACACCAAAUGCAAAAUAGAACACACGCUAAGCAUUUUAAUCGGAAUAUUUCAAAUAAAGUAUUGUUAUUUCGCGGCAAUGUAUCAACACAUUGCGAAUGAUGCCGCAACUAGCUGAGUCUUCAAGAACCAACGUGUUCUACAUUAUAUGAGACAAAUGCCAAAGUCAUGUAUACAGUUCAGCACGUCGAACGGAUUUUGUUUUUUUAAUAACAUAGACAUACGAGCUAUUCUUUCAAGUCCGCCAUUUAUAAAUGAGAUGCAUCAAAAUGUCAGUGGUAUCUAUAUAUUUUCACGAUGAGUGAAAUUGUCUCCAUAAUUGUGUAAAUAUUACAUUCAUGUUGUUAAUAUGUUCUAAACUUCUGAAAAUAAUAAUUGCUUUUGUAUGUUUUUAUUGGUUUAUUCGACCACAAUGAGUAAAUAGUCAACAAUUUACAGAAUUAAUGGUUAUUAUUUUAAUUGCUUGCACAUUAUAAUUUGUU